UACGUAGGGCGCAAGCGUUGUCCGGAAUUAUUGGGCGUAAAGAGCUCGUAGGCGGUCUGUUGCGUCUGCCGUGAAAACCCGAGGCUUAACCUCGGGCCUGCGGUGGAUACGGGCAGACUAGAGGUAGGUAGGGGAGAACGGAAUUCCCGGUGUAGCGGUGAAAUGCGCAGAUAUCGGGAGGAACACCGGUGGCGAAGGCGGCUCGCUGGGCCGGUCCUGACGCUCAGGCGCGAAAGCGUGGGGAGCGAUCCGG
rnacentral:rRNA from 1 species